AUUGAACGCUGGCGGCAUGCCUUACACAUGCAAGUCGAACGGCAACAGGUCUUCGGAUGCUGACGAGUGGCGAACGGGUGAGUAAUACAUCGGAACGUGCCUAGUAGUGGGGGAUAACUACUCGAAAGAGUGGCUAAUACCGCAUGAGAUCUACGGAUGAAAGCAGGGGAUCGAAAGACCUUGUGCUACUGGAGCGGCCGAUGGCAGAUUAGGUAGUUGGUGGGAUAAAAGCUUACCAAGCCGACGAUCUGUAGCUGGUCUGAGAGGACGAUCAGCCACACUGGGACUGAGACACGGCCCAGACUCCUACGGGGGGCAGCAGUGGGGAAUUUUGGACAAUGGGCGAAAGCCUGAUCCAGCAAUGCCGCGUGCAGGAUGAAGGCCUUCGGGUUGUAAACUGCUUUUGUACGGAACGAAAAGCCCUGGGUUAAUACCCUGGGGUCAUGACGGUACCGUAAGAAUAAGCACCGGCUAACUACGUGCCAGCAGCCGCCGUAACAC
rnacentral:rRNA from 1 species